ACGAAAAUGUCCUUCAAACUUCAAAACGUAAACAAUUUGAAAGGUUUUCUACAAAAGAGAGGCGUAACCUGUUACUUUUAUAGAAAAGAUCAUCUGGUUAAACUUUGUGAUCUUGCAUUGGAACUUCAAUUGCCUAUAUUGAACGAGGAGAACGACGUGGAACCUGACAUCACUAUUUCAAGUUUGACAAGGCGUACACUGGUUAUCGGGGG
rnacentral:lncRNA from 1 species